rnacentral:rRNA from 2 species
CCGUGGUAAUUCUAGAGCUAAUACAUGCUUAAAAUCCCGACUUCNGNAAGGGAUGUAUUUAUUAUAUAAAAAAUCAAUGCCUUCGGGCUCUUUGAUGAUUCAUAAUAACUUUUCGAAUCGCAUGGCCUUGUGCUGGCGAUGGUUCAUUCAAAUUUCUGCCCUAUCAACUUUCGAUGGNAGGAUAGUGGCCUACCAUGGUUUCAACGGGUAACGGGGAAUAAGGGUUCGAUUCCGGAGAGGGAGCCUGAGAAACGGCUACCACAUCCAAGGAAGGCAGCAGGCGCGCAAAUUACCCAAUCCCGACACGGGGAGGUAGUGACAAUAAAUAACGAUACAGGGCCCUUUUGGGUCUUGUAAUUGGAAUGAGUACAAUGUAAAUACCUUAACGAGGAACAAUUGGAGGGCAAGUCUGGUGCCAGCAGCCGCGGUAAUUCCAGCUCCAAAAGCGUAUAUUAAAGUUGUUGCAGUUAAAAAGCUCGUAGUUGAACCUUGGGCUUGGUUAGCCGGUCCAUCUUCAUGAUGCGUACUGGACCUAACCGAGCCUUUCCUUCUGGCUAGCCUUUUGGCGAACCAGGACUUUUACUUUGAAAAAAUUAGAGUGUUCAAAGCAGGCCUUUGCUCGAAUAUAUUAGCAUGGAAUAAUAGAAUAGGACGUUAUGGUUCUAUUUUGUUGGUUUCUAGGACCAUCGUAAUGAUUAAUAGGGACGGUCGGGGGUAUCAGUAUUCAGUUGUCAGAGGUGAAAUUCUUGGAUUUACUGAAGACUAACUACUGCGAAAGCAUUUACCAAGGACGUUUUCAUUAAUCAAGAACGAAAGUUAGGGGAUCGAAGAUGAUCAGAUACCGUCGUAGUCUUAACCAUAAACUAUGCCGACUAGGGAUCGGUUGUUGUUCUUUUAUUGACGCAAUCGGCACCUUACGAGAAAUCAAAGUCUUUGG